UCAGUUUAAGCUCCUACCAUGGUCAGUCAUAAAGCAUCAAAAUCUAGCUACAACAUAUGUUGAUGUUUGCAGCCAAACCAAGGUUAAAUUAUGAACAACUGAUAUUUAUAGCGAAGUUGGUGAUCAGAUCGGAUUCGAGGAUCAUCCUCUCUCAUGUGUUACGUAUUAGUGAUGCCUACAUGACGGUGGAAAAUGUACGAAUAUGCAGCGUUGACAGUAACAAGGAAAAAAUGAUGUUUCAUUUUGUCUGUUUGGCUCUGAGAUAUAUUAAAAUUGGACAUAUCCAGUGAGGCGGCUUGAUGGAUCAUUGGCCUCAUGGCAAAAUUGGGGACGGAGGAGGGAGGAGGCUUCAUAUAAGCAUGACUUCAAAAGCUCAGGGAGAUCAAACCGAAGAAAGACAACACUCAGCGCAACAUGCUCGUGUCGAUGAUAUGGGUGCAGAGGAAGACUGUGAGGAUGAUCAGUGAGAGCAGAUUUGCUAGAAUAUCACUUUGCAAAACCCAUGAUCCAAUCCAUGUUUUGUCCUUACAAAUAGAUAAAUGCAUGAAGGGAUAACUGCUGCAGAUGCUUACUUGUUGUCAACAUUAGAUGGUGAUUUGGUUGUAUUUGCUAAGAUCUUGCCGUCGUGAGAUCAAUUAAUCAAUGUAUGCACCUUUGCAUAUGGGUGAACUUGAAUAGAGAAAACCUUCACUAUGGAACUUGUGGCUUGGUGACUGUCAGGAGUGAGCAUUUGGUGACUGGGUAAAGUAGUAAAAGCCACAUGUGGUUGGUUGACCUUGCUGGAAGUGAGCACUUCGCUAAAACUGAAGUAGGAGAGACGUCGA